ACAACUUUUAACAACGGAUCUCUUGGCUCUCGCAUCGAUGAAGAACGCAGCGAAAUGCGAUAAGUAAUGUGAAUUGCAGAAUUCAGUGAAUCAUCGAAUCUUUGAACGCACCUUGCACUCUCUGGUAUUCCGGGGAGCACGCCUGUUCGAGUGU
rnacentral:rRNA from 1 species